GUGCACUCUUUGGCAUCACAUAUACUAAAAUUGAAAUGAUACCAAAAAGAUUAGCAUGGCCCCUGAGCAAGGAUGACACACAAAUUUGUGAGCUGUUCCUUAUUUUA